rnacentral:rRNA from 1 species
AAAUAAUAUAAAAUAAAAUAGUUUGGUUAUUAGUAUUAAAUAUAAUUUAUAAUUUAAUUAUUUAUAAUAAAGUAAAAUUUAAUUAAGUAUCAUUAUUAUAAUUAUUUCAUUCUAUUAAAUUUUAUUUAAAACUAGGAUUAGAUACCCUAUUAUAAAAAUUUAAAUUAAUUUACUAAAAAAUUAAUAGUUAUGUUCUUUAAAUUUAAAAAAUUUGGCGGUAUUUUAGUCUUAUUAGAGGAACCUGUUUAUUAAUUGAUAAUCCACGAUUAAUUUUACUUAUUUAAAUUAAUUCAUAUAUCGCUGUCAUGAAUAUAUUUAAAAAUUUAUUUUCUUUAUUUAUUUUUAUAAUUUAUGUUAAGUCAAGAUGUGGUUUAUAAAUAAGAAUACAAUGGGUUACAUUAAAUUUUAUUUUUGGAUUUUAAAUGAAAAUUAAAAUGAAAUUGGAUUUAAUAGUAAAUUUAUUUAUUUUAUUAAUAUGAAGAAAGAUCUAAAAUAUGUACAUAUUGCCCGUCAUUCUUAUUAAAAAUAAGACAAGUCGUAACAAAGUAAAUGUACUGGAAAGUGUAUUUAGAAAGU